rnacentral:miRNA from 15 species
ACUAAAUAUCAAACAUAUUCUUC